rnacentral:rRNA from 1 species
UGCAGUAGGGAAUCUUCCACAAUGGGCGCAAGCCUGAUGGAGCAACGCCGCGUGUGUGAUGAAGGCUUUCGGGUCGUAAAGCACUGUUGUAUGGGAAGAAUAGUUAAUGUAGGAAAUGAUGUUAGUGUGACGGUACCAUACCAGAAAGGGACGGCUAAAUACGUGCCAGCAGCCGCGGUAAUACG